UACGUAGGGUGCGAGCGUUAAUCGGAAUUACUGGGCGUAAAGAGUGCGUAGGCGGUUUCUCAAGUCCGCUUUGAAAUCCCCGGGCUCAACCUGGGAAUGGCAGUGGAAACUAGGAGACUUGAAUCUGGCAGAGGGGGGUGGAAUUCCACGUGUAGCAGUGAAAUGCGUAGAUAUCGAGAGGAACACCAGUGGCGAAGGCGAGUCCCUGGACAGGUCCUGACGCUGAGGCACGAAAGCUAGGGGAGCAAACAGG
rnacentral:rRNA from 1 species